AGUGAACGCUGGCGGUAGGCCUAACACAUGCAAGUCGAACGGCAGCACAGUAAGAGCUUGCUCUUACGGGUGGCGAGUGGCGGACGGGUGAGGAAUACAUCGGAAUCUACUUUUUCGUGGGGGAUAACGUAGGGAAACUUACGCUCAUACCGCAUACGACCUACGGGUGAAAGCAGGGGAUCUUCUGACCUUGCGCGAUUGAAUGAGCCGAUGUGGGAUUAGCUAGUUGGCGGGGUAAAGGCCCACCAAGGCGACGAUCCGUAGCUGGUCUGAGAGGAUGAUCAGCGACACUGGAACUGAGACACGGUCCAGACUCCUACGGGAGGCAGCAGUGGGGAAUAUUGGACAAUGGGCGCAAGCCUGAUCCAGCCAUACCGCGUGGGUGAAGAAGGCCUUCGGGUUGUAAAGCCCUUUUGUUGGGAAAGAAAAGCAGCAGGUUAAUACCCCGCUGUUCUGACGGUACCCAAAGAAUAAGCACCGGCUAACUUCGUG
rnacentral:rRNA from 1 species